AUAAUGCAGUCGAGCGGACCUUUUAAAGCUUGCUUUUGAAAGGUCAGCGGCGGACGGGUGAGUAACACGUGGGCAACCUGCCUGUAAGACUGGGAUAACUUCGGGAAACCGGAGCUAAUACCGGAUAAUAUAAGGAACCUCCUGGUUCUUUAUUGAAAGAUGGUUUCGGCUAUCACUUACAGAUGGGCCCGCGGCGCAUUAGCUAGUUGGUGAGGUAACGGCUCACCAAGGCGACGAUGCGUAGCCGACCUGAGAGGGUGAUCGGCCACACUGGGACUGAGACACGGCCCAGACUCCUACGGGAGGCAGCAGUAGGGAAUCUUCCACAAUGGACGAAAGUCUGAUGGAGCAACGCCGCGUGAGCGAUGAAGGCCUUCGGGUCGUAAAGCUCUGUUGUUAGGGAAGAACAAGUGCGAGAGUAACUGCUCGCACCUUGACGGUACCUAACCAGAAAGCCACGGCUAACUACGUGCCAGCAGCCGCGGUAAUACGUAGGUGGCAAGCGUUGUCCGGAAUUAUUGGGCGUAAAGCGCGCGCAGGUGGUCCUUUA
rnacentral:rRNA from 2 species